AAAUUGAAGAGUUUGAUCAUGGCUCAGAUUGAACGCUGGCGGCAGGCCUAACACAUGCAAGUCGAACGGUAACAGGAAGAAGCUUGCUUCUUUGCUGACGAGUGGCGGACGGGUGAGUAAUAUCUGGGAAACUGCC
rnacentral:rRNA from 1 species